rfam:Bombyx mori DNA, contig: Bm_scaf8807_contig54017, strain: p50T/Dazao, build 2, whole genome shotgun sequence.
CACGGCAAAAGUUUUUUUGCAUAUCCUGCACAGUUUCAGUUCUCGCAGAGUACGCAAAAAACAAUUUUGACGUGAG